rnacentral:rRNA from 1 species
UACGGGGGGGGCAAGCGUUAAUCGGAAUUACUGGGCGUAAAGUGUGCGCAGGCGGCCGCGCAAGUCGAGUGUGAAAGCCCCGGGCUUAACUUGGGAAUUGCGCUCGAAACUACGUGGCUGGAGUGUGGCAGAGGAAGGUGGAAUUCCACGUGUAGCGGUGAAAUGCGUAGAGAUGUGGAGGAACACCAAUGGCGAAGGCAGCCUUCUGGGCCAACACUGACGCUCAUGCACGAAAGCGUGGGGAGCAAACAGG